GACGAACGCUGGCGGCGUGCUUAACACAUGCAAGUCGAACGGAAAGGCCCCCACCUUGGUGGGGGUGCUCGAGUGGCGAACGGGUGAGUAACACGUGGGUGAUCUGCCCUGUACUUCGGGAUAAGCUUGGGAAACUGGGUCUAAUACCGGAUAGGACCAUGGUUUAGUGUCUCAUGGUGGAAAAAUUAUUGUUUUGGUGCAGGAUGAGCUCGCGGCCUAUCAGCUUGUUGGUGGGGUAAUGGCCUACCAAGGCGUCGACGGGUAGCCGGCCUGAGAGGGUGGACGGCCACAUUGGGACUGAGAUACGGCCCAGACUCCUACGGGAGGCAGCAGUGGGGAAUAUUGCACAAUGGGCGCAAGCCUGAGGCAGCGACGCCGCGUGGGGGAUGACGGCCGUCGGGUUGUAAACUCCUUUCGUUAGGGACGAAGCCACACCUUUUUUGGGUGUGGUGACGGUACCUUUGUGAAGAAGCACCGGCUAACUACGUG
rnacentral:rRNA from 1 species